rnacentral:rRNA from 1 species
UACGUAGGUGGCGAGCGUUGUCCGGAUUUACUGGGCGUAAAGCGCGCGCAGGCGGUCCGGUAAGUCUCCGGUGAAAUCGCCCGGCUCAACUGGGCGGGUGCCGGGGAGACUGGCGGACUUGAGGAGCCUAGAGGCCGGUGGAACUCCCGGUGUAGUGGUGAAAUGCGUAGAGAUCGGGAAGAACACCAGUGGCGAAGGCGGCCGGCUGGGGGUGUCCUGACGCUGAGGCGCGAGAGCGUGGGGGAGCAAACCGG